AUGGCCUGGGCUCCUCUCCUGUUCACACUUCUGGCUCAUUGCACAGGGGCCACUUCCCAGGUGGUGACUCGGGAAACUUCACUGUCCACAACUCCUGGAGGGACAGUCACACUCAUUUGUGUUUCCAGUUCUGGGGCCAUCACCACCAGUAACUAUGCCACCUGGGUCCAACAGAAGCCGUGUCAGGCCCCCCAGGGUCUAAUAGGUGGUAGCAGCACUCGGGUUCCGGGGGUCCCUGCCCAAUUCUCCGGCUCCCUGCUUGGAGACAAGGCCGCCCUCACCAUCUUGGAGGCCCAGUCCAAGGAUGAGGCUGAGUAUUACUGUGUUCUGUGGUUCAGCAACCAUUUCCACAGUGACAGAUGCAGGUGGGGAAGGGAGACAUAA